rnacentral:sRNA from 1 species
UUUAAUAAUUUGGUAAAUUAAAUUUAUUCUAACUUCCUUCUCCUUGCUGCUUUUUGAAUUGCAAUGUUGACAAUUUUCCAUAUUGAUUUUCUAUUACUGGUCGCUGAAGUGAAACAAAAUUCUCCAUGCAAAAACAUUCAAAGAAUCAAAGAGGAUUUAAAAGGAUUUUCUCAAGCAUAAAAAUGCAGGUUGCCACAUUGCAACACUGCAAUACUGCAGAUAUGUACGUGGAGGAGGCGAUUAAACGUGGCAAAACAAAAGAAACUGUUUUCCAUAUGCACAAAAAAGGAUAUUUGCGUUACGGUUACUAUUUGCAUAAUAAUUUAUCAAAAUGCAAGAGUAUGUGUCGAUCAGAUUA